rnacentral:rRNA from 1 species
GACGAACGCUGGCGGCGUGCUUAACACAUGCAAGUCGAACGGAAAGGCCCUGCUUUUGUGGGGUUCUCGAGUGGCGAACGGGUGAGUAACACGUGAGUAACCUGCCCUUGACUUUGGGAUAACUUCAGGAAACUGGGGCUAAUACCGGAUAGGAGCUCCUGCUGCAUGGUGUGGGUUGGAAAGUUUCGGCGGUUGGGGAUGGACUCGCGGUUUAUCAGCUUGUUGGUGGGGUAGUGGAUUACCAAGGCUUUGACGGGUAGCCGGCCUGAGAGGGUGACCGGCCACAGUGGGACUGAGAUACGGCCCAGACGCCUACGGGAGGCAGCAGUGGGGAAUAGUGCACAAUGGGCGGAAGCCUGAUGCAGCAACGCCGCGUGCGGGAUGACGGCCUUCGGGUUGUAAACCGCUUUCGCCUGUGACGAAGCGUGAGUGACGGUAAUGGGUAAAGAAGCACCGGCUAACUACGUG